GGCCGCCCCCGCCGCCAUGCUGCAGCCGCCAGACAAGAGCAAUCGAGCGCGGGCGGCCGGCGGGGGCGGGGCCUCCGGGCGACUGCGCGCGGAAGCCCCGCCCCCGGGCCGCCCCGGGCCUGAGCUUGGGGCGAGCACGGAACCGGGGGCGGAGCUUCCGGGGGAGCGCCAGCUCGCCUGACCCGCGUGCUCCUGGCAUCGCGGACGCCCGCCUCGCUGGGCACCCGCUCCCGGAGGCUCCGCACCUUCCAGACGGUUCUACAGCGGCCGGGAGGAGGGUGUGUGCGCGACUGCAGGUGAAGUCAGGUCUGGACGUCCCACAGGAUAGCAUUUUAAUCUAAAAUGAAAUUAACUAAAAGCUGCGAUAACAUCUUCUGGAGCUACUAUAAAAAGCAUAAAUGAGCACCCGCAUGUCUGCUGAGAACUUGCUAACACGGAGCUUCCCGGGAAGUCUGCACCUGGCUGGGGACGCCCAGGAGCCUUCAGCUGCAGGGUUCAUGCUCUGUCCACACGUGCUGGUGGCCAAGGAUCAUGAUCAGGGCACAAAAUGUGUGUUAUCUGAUGGUUCCACAGCAAUCCAGUUUCUCCUAAGAUACGACUAUGCAGGUAAGCAUGUACCCAAUAACCUAAUCUAGAAUUGGGAUGAAGCUUUUGGGGUUGCUACCCACGAAAAAAAUAUGAAUGUACCUCAUAAGGUGCCCUGCAGAAGAAAUGUAUUUAUAAGAAAUGUAGUCCACGAAUCUUAAUCCAAUUUAUUGCGAUCUCCAAAAACACUUUAGCCAGAUAAUUUUUAAAUUAAUUUUUAAUUCCCUGCAGUGUAUCACCGUCCUGAGAGGUGACAGCCCGUUUUCCAUCCCUGGCAUAAAUUCUAAUCUCUCUUCCACCGAGGACCAGACGGGGUGGCCGGAACCAGCUGCAGAACCAGUCUCCGGGCGGUAGGUGGCAUUAGCCACCUCCUCAGGCUGGGGAAGGAACAUCCUUUGUUGAGUGGUUUCUUUAUUCAACCUAGAGAGGCCAGAAUUCAGAUUGGCCUCAAAUACUGAUUCUGAGUCUGUAGAGGCUCUGCUGAUCCACCAAAUGGGUACUUUUUUCCCCAACCUGCCAACUUCUAGUACCUUCUCCUGCCCUUCUCAGCACUUGACAUCCUGUGACAUUUACCAAGUCUGAACUGUGCUGUGAAGGCGUGUCAGUACGGGGCUGGGGGAAGGGUGGUGGUGAGGACAACUCCGCACGUUGUCACUACACGCACACUUGCACGUGCGUGUUUGUUUACCUGAAGGUCCAGGUCCCGGGGUGUGAUCAUUGCAGAUACAGGACACUUGGUUGGCCACGAGUGUUUGUGAUCGCUGUGUGUGUUUCUAUGCAGCUGCUCGUUGUCUUGCGUCAACCUUUCACAGGGAGACCGUAUUGCGUGCGCGCCCAUGUGUGACUCUGUCUUCUCUAAGUCCUUUUGGUGCUAAUUCUCUGCUCCUGGUUAUAAUUCCUGCAUCGGUUUUGAGGAACUAAGGACACAGAUGAACUUGACUUGGUGUCACAAACCAGAUCCCUUGUCAAUCAGAAGUCAUUCUUAAGAGAGCUGAGAAGUUUUAGGGGCGCCCGGGUGGCUCUGUCGGUUGAGCGUCCGGCUUCAGCUCAGGUCACAACCUCACAGUUCACGAGUUUGAGCCCCACGUCGGGCUCUGUGCUGACAGCUCAGAGCCUGGAGCCUGCCUCAGAUUCUGCGUCUUCCUCUCUCUCUGUCCCUCCCCCACUUGUGCUCGCUCUCUCUCUCUCUCUCUCUCUCUCUCAAAAUAAACAUUAAAAAAAAUCUUUAACAGAGCUGAGAAGUUUUAACCAGGGAAGCACCUUCAGGCUGUGUGGCCCCAACAGCUCACGUCUCCACAGGGACCCUUACAGACCCUGGCUCUCCAUCCACGUUGUCUCACUUGAAUGCAUGGGCCUUUGUCCCGCUGACCUUGGCGCCCUCUCACAGUCUGCUCUGGCACGGAGAGGUCGCCACACAGAGUGGACACCUGGAGUGUCCAGUAGGCACUAUGAGUGAAGCUGGCCCUUCCUGUCUGUGGAAGGGAUUCAGGGCACAGAGGUCUGGGAAACACUGCAAAUACACACAUUCCUUGGAGACACAGCUCAGCGACCCACCGCUAACAGCCAAUCAUCGGUUCUCGGUGCACAGCAGAGGCCAUCCCAACCCGGGAAGCUGACUGGUUCGACUUUGGUUAAAUCAACGACCACAGUAGUCUUACACUUGCCUAAAUUCCUCGAAAGUCCGCCACACCCACAACAGCUUCCUGCACAGGGGCAGGACUAAGGUAGGCCAGGAUUUUUAUUUUAAUCCUCUGGAAUCUGUCUUCUUGAACCUUUUCCAGAGUUGCUAUGUGAACGUUGGCCCAGCGCCACGGCGCCCCCGCUGGAGUCCAGUGGGCAGGAUAGGGCAAAAUGCAUGACGUUCAAGGCACCUCUACUCAGCCAGCUCGGGAGCCUCUGUGCCCGUUCCCAGUAGCUGCCCUCCAGGAAGUUCAGGGGCAAUGUCAGGGAUUUGGCAAAAUACUAACUCUUGGUGCUGGGAACAAAUUUGGAUUUGCUUCAAAUCCAGAAAGGAUUCUCAGUUCAGAUGGUCUCCAAACUGGCUCACUCAUUUCGGGUUUUCACGGUUGGGGCGGUUUUCCUAUAGAAUAGCUGCUGCCUUCAAAUUCCUUGCUCUGGGGGCACCUGGGUGGCUCAGUGGGUUAAGCAUCCAACUUCAGCUCAGGUCAUGCACGAUCUUGUGGUUGGUGGGUUCGAGUCCCGAGUUGGGCUUUGUGCUGACAGCUCAGAGCCUGGAAUCUGCUUCAGAUUCUGUGUGUCUGUCUCUGCCCCUCUUUCACUUGCAUUGCCUCUCUCUCUCUCUCUCUCUCUCUCUCUCAAAACUAAACAUUAGGGAAAAAAAUUCCUUCCUCCAGAACCGAACAAACAAAAAAGAAAGGAGAAAAAAGAGCAAACCACUGAUUUUUUUAAAAGUUUAUUUAUUUAUUUUGACAGAGAGAGAGAAAGAGAGCACGGGGAGGGGCAGAAAGAGAGAAUCCUAAGCAGGUUCCACACUGUCAGCUCAGAGCCCAACGUGGGGCUCAAACCCAUGAACCAUAAGAUCAUGGUCUGAGCUGAAAUCAAGAGCCAGACGCUUCACUGACCGAGCCCCCCAAGGUGUCCGGCAAACCACUGAUUUUUAAAUGAUGCCUGGGUCCUAUUGCUCUGUAGCAUGUAUAUAAAAUAAAUGAGUCACUAUUUCACAUUCUCAUGACAAAGUAGCUGAAGUUUAGACCUCCAUGGAUGUGUCCCUUCCAUCAGAGUAAAGCAAAACUUGGUGGUAACUCCAUUAUUAGCCUACGUUUAAGUUAGUAUCUAUUAUUCACUCAUUCAUAUGAAAUACGCCUUAUUGUAAUCGAAAGAAGUAUCUCACUUAAAAAUGUCAAUGCUAACAUUCCCUUUUGACUUUCCAACCAUUCUUUCUUUCCUCAGUUCAAUGAGUAGUCGGAGAUGGAGGGGAAGAGUCCCCUUCCUAUGUGAAGAGGCAAAUGUGUGGGACCCUGGAAGGGUCUGAGGGAGAGGGUGGGUCCCACAGACCCCACAGGAAGGCUCUGACAGGUGCUGAGCCCAGCAGGUGGGGCUGAAUCGCCCCAGGGCCUGUGGUGGAGAGGCAAAGAGCCUCCUGGUUCAGCGAGGUCUCCGCCAGCCAGCAGCCCAAGCCCCUCCGUGUGGGAAGCCCGGCUGGGCCCCGUUCCAUCCUGCCGUGUUUUACUCCUAUCGUCCUGGACCCUCCCGCCUUCUUACCAGCCUGGCACGGACCAGGAGGGAUGCUUUCCGCCAUUUGGAUGAAAUCCUAAUUUUCUAGCUUUCCAUGUGUUUUUGGUCCCUGAAUCACAAGCAGUGACUGGUCCCCUCUUCAUGAUGCACAGUGGGUUUCCGGCCACUCACUUUUCUCCCCGCUUGAAUCAUCCUUCCUUACCCAGGACCGAGUUUUUAUUGACCGUCCCUAUAUUUACCCUGCAGAAAUAUGUCCUUUUAUGAUGGGGCAUAAAUAUGAAAUGGCAGUGUUCUGGGACACCUGGCCACUGACACGGCAGAAGGAAGCCGGAUUCCCGAAGACUCCCCAGGCCUGAUCAUAUCCUUAGAGAGAAUGUUCUAAGGGCUGGCCGCACAAAUCUUUAACACUAUUUAGCAAUCUCUUUGGAGGGGGUUUGUCUCUUCUUUACCUGAGCUGUAGUAUAUGAGCUUGCACAUCUUUGCUUUUCUUUUAUAAUUUCAAAUUAUAUAUAGUCAGGAAAUAUUGCAUUCACUGGCAAUCUAUUUUGAUUGAUAAAAAGGGGUUAAUAAAACCCCCCUUAGAAAUAACAAGAAGGGAAACAGUAAUAUAUCUUUUGUGGUGGCUUCUUUGGCGGUGCAUAAAGAGAGCAAGGUUCUUUACUUCUCCCCGAUAAGUCUUCUCCUUUAUUUUCUAUACCUAGUGAGUCAUUUAUAAUCCUUAUUAUUUCCAACCCACACACAGCCAUAUUUCCACAUGCAGGGGUCCUCCUUACUAUGUUGUGAGAGCCAAGAGGCCCAAACACCCUAUCAUUUAUAUGAAAAUACAUGCCAAAAAUGGAUUAUCAAACAUAACCAAUGUGACUUCAUACACUUGCAAAUAAAAAAAAUUUAGGAUGAAAUAUAAAACAUCGUGCUAAAAUCUCAAUCUAUUGUUGAAAACACAGCAUAGCAUAGAAAGUACACCUGUGUCUGGCAUUCGACAAAUAUUACCGAGUGAUUAGAAGCAGAGAGAGGUCAGAAGGAGACCCAAUUAAUCCCUCCAUUCAAACAUAAAGCUAUUAUUGAUUUUAGGCGGCACAGUUGUGGUUUAUUAAUAUUUUUAUUUAUUUACGGCGCCUGUGAAGAAAAUGCAAAACGACGGACCAUAAAAAGCUUGCCUUCUGUACGUAACAAGUGUUUACACGGACGUUAUGGGAUGGGUUGGGGUGCACACAUCGUGUGCUAUGUCAUCUCAUGUAUGUCUCUAAUUUGUACUUGUCACAAAGUCUUUCGGUAUUUUUAAAAAAUUUUUUGUAAUGUUUAUUUUUGGCAGAGAGAGAGAG